GCAAACUAUACCGUGAAACUGCGAAUGGCUCAUUAAAUCAGUUAUCGUUUAUUUGAUAGUACCUACUUACUUGGAUAACCGUGGUAAUUCUAGAGCUAAUACAUGCUAAAAACCUCGACUUCGGAAGGGGUGUAUUUAUUAGAUAAAAAACCAAUGCCCUCCGGGGCUCCUUGGUGAUUCAUAAUAACUCAACGAAUCGCAUGGCCUUGCGCCGGCGAUGGUUCAUUCAAAUUUCUGCCCUAUCAACUUUCGAUGGUAGGAUAGUGGCCUACCAUGGUGGCAACGGGUAACGGGGAAUUAGGGUUCUAUUCCGGAGAGGGAGCCUGAGAAACGGCUACCACAUCCAAGGAAGGCAGCAGGCGCGCAAAUUACCCAAUCCCGACACGGGGAGGUAGUGACAAUAAAUACUGAUGUGGAGCUCUUUAGGGUUUCACAAUUGGAAUGAGAAAAAUCUAAACCACUUAAACGAGGAACAAUUGGAGGGCAAGUCUGGUGCCAGCAGCCGCGGUAAUUCCAGCUCCAAUAGCGUAUAUUAAAGUUGUUGCAGUUAAAAAGCUCGUAGUUGAACCUUGGGCCUGGCCGGCCGGUCCGCCUCACCGCGUGCACUGGUUCGGCCGGGCCUUUCCUCCUGGGGAACCGCAUGCCCUUCACUGGGUGUGCCGGGGAAUCAGGACUUUUACUUUGAAAAAAUUAGAGUGUUCAAAGCAGGCAUUUGCUCGAAUACAUUAGCAUGGAAUAAUAGAAUAGGACGUUGUGGUUCUAUUUUGUUGGUUUCUAGGACCGCCGUAAUGAUUAAUARGGGACGA
rnacentral:rRNA from 1 species